AAGGUAGAUAGGUUGGGAGUGGAAGUGCCGUAAGGCAUGCAGCGGACCAAUACUAAUAAAUCGAGGGCUUAACUUA
rnacentral:rRNA from 1 species